GAUGAACGCUAGCGGCAGGCUUAAUACAUGCAAGUCGAACGGUAAGUAUUUUAGCAAUAAGAUACGAGAGUGACGUACGGGUGCGUAACACGUAUGCAACCUACCUUGUACAGGAGGAUAGCUCGGGGAAACUCGAAUUAACCCUCCAUAAGAUCGUGGUGAGGCAUCUCACAGCGAUAAAAUACUUAGGAGGUACAAGAUGGGCGAUGCGUCUGAUUAGAGUUGGUGCGGGUAACGGCCCACCAAGACGAUGAUCAGUAGGGGACC
rnacentral:rRNA from 1 species